GAUGAAGAACGCAGCGAAAUGCGAUAAGUAGUGUGAAUUGCAGAAUUCAGUGAAUCAUCGAAUCUUUGAACGCACAUUGCGCCCCUUGGUAUUCCAUGGGGCAUGCCUGUUCGAGCGUCAUUUGUACCUUCAAGCUUUGCUUGGUGUUGGGUGUUUGUCUCGCCUUUGCGUGUAGACUCGCCUUAAAAUAAUUGGCAGCCGGCGUAUUGAUUUCGGAGCGCAGUACAUCUCGCGCUUUGCACUCAUAACGACAGCGUCCAAAAGUACAUUUUACACUCUUGACCUCGGAUCAGGUAGGGAUACCCGCUGAACUUAAGCAUAUCAAUAAGCGAAGGA
rnacentral:misc_RNA from 1 species